rnacentral:rRNA from 1 species
UGUACGGAAUGGAUAAGCGCUGAAAGCAUCUAAGCGCGAAGCCAACUUCAAGAUAAGAUUUCCCACCGCAAGGGUAAGACCCCAGAAAGACUAUCUGGUUGAUAGGUCGAAGGUGUAAGUGCAGCAAUGUAUUUAGCUUAUCGAUACUAAUAGGUCGAGGACUUGACCAAUAUUUAUU